rnacentral:rRNA from 1 species
GGGCUACACACGUGCUACAAUGGCGGUACAAAGAGUUGCGAUACCGCGAGGUGGAGCUAAUCUCAUAAAGCCGGUCUCAGUUCGGAUUGGAGUCUGCAACUCGACUCCAUGAAGUUGGAAUCGCUAGUAAUCGCGGAUCAGCAUGCCGCGGUGAAUACGUUCCCGGGCCUU